CACUGAAACAAAAAAAGAUUAACAUAUUUAAUAUUUUCGUUAAAUAUAAAUACACACACGCCACAGUUUGAAGAUAAUAUUUGAUCUCAUUUGUUUGUCGCAGAUGACUGCGUUUGCACAUGGGCCCAAUAAUUUCUUGCAGGAUGGGCUGGAAGCAAGUGGACCAAUCAUCAUAGACUUCCAAGGUCCAUAUGCGUAGCGCUGCAGGGAUUAAGAUCGAUGUGGAGUACGCUGGUCCAUGCAUCUAAAAGAAUCGAAACCCCAAAGAACAUGGAGAAAAUGAGGGCUCGUCAUGUGCGUUGGAUAACGCCAUGAUGACAUGAAUGAAAACCACGAAGGUGUUGAUAUCGGAUCUUGUUACGAAUCAUCAAGGAGCUGGAACAGCAGGCGAUUUCUGCACGCUUGGCCAACUCACCGGAGCAAGUUUCGCAGUUGGUGAAAGUUGGAAGGCAUCGAGCGAGCAAUCGGGCAUGCAACCACCUGCCUUUUUGCGUUGUUCCUGUGCUGCACCUACCGUAUGUAAUAGCGCCGCAUUAUCAUACUGUUACGAACAAAAUAAAAAGUGUACUUGUACGUGGCGAAUUAUUCAGGGUAGCUAGAUGAUCACUUUUUUCGUGCCUGUUCUUGGCACGGACCUAAUCCCAAUUACCAAUGCCA